rnacentral:siRNA from 1 species
CUAACUAGAUGAAAAACAAUUUGG